rnacentral:rRNA from 1 species
CACAAGACUGAAUCUGGAUUCCCAUCUAGUGGCAGACGGGUGAGUAACACGUGGGUGACCUACCUUUUCGUUGGGGAUAACAGUUGGAAACGAUUGCUAAUACCGAAUAAAAUGUAAGAGUCAAUUUUACAUUGAAAGGAGCCUUUAAAGCUUCGCGAUUAGAUGGGCCUGCGGCGUAUUAACUAGUUGGUGAGGUAAUGGCUUACCAAGGUGACGAUGCGUAGCCGAACUGAGAGGUUGAUCGGCCACACUGGAACUGAGACACGGUCCAGACUCC